rnacentral:rRNA from 1 species
ACGAACGCUGGCGGCGUGCUUAACACAUGCAAGUCGAACGGAAAGGCCCUGCUUUUGUGGGGUGCUCGAGUGGCGAACGGGUGAGUAACACGUGAGUAACCUGCCCUUGACUUUGGGAUAACUUCAGGAAACUGGGGCUAAUACCGGAUAGGAGCUCCUGCUGCAUGGUGGGGGUUGGAAAGUUUCGGCGGUUGGGGAUGGACUCGCGGCUUAUCAGCUUGUUGGUGGGGUAGUGGCUUACCAAGGCUUUGACGGGUAGCCGGCCUGAGAGGGUGACCGGCCACAUUGGGACUGAGAUACGGCCCAGACUCCUACGGGAGGCAGCAGUGGGUAAUAUUGCACAAUGGGCGGAAGCCUGAUGCAGCAACGCCGCGUGCGGGAUGACGGCCUUCGGGUUGUAAACCGCUUUCGCCUGUGACGAAGCGUGAGUGACGGUAAUGGGUAAAGAAGCACCGGCUAACUACGUG